rnacentral:rRNA from 1 species
GAUGAACGCUGGCGGCGUGCCUAAUACAUGCAAGUCGAGCGAACAGACGAGGAGCUUGCUCCUCUGACGUUAGCGGCGGACGGGUGAGUAACACGUGGAUAACCUACCUAUAAGACUGGGAUAACUUCGGGAAACCGGAGCUAAUACCGGAUAAUAUAUUGAACCGCAUGGUUCAAUAGUGAAAGACGGUUUUGCUGUCACUUAUAGAUGGAUCCGCGCCGCAUUAGCUAGUUGGUAAGGUAACGGCUUACCAAGGCAACGAUGCGUAGCCGACCUGAGAGGGGGAGCGCCCACACGGGAAGAGAGACAGGACCCAGACUCAGACGGGAGGGAGCAGGGGGGAAUCUUCCGAAAGGGGCGAAAGCCUGACGGCACAACCGCGGGUGAGGGAUAAAGGUGUGGGGAACGAAAAACUCUGUUAUGGGGGAAAAACAAAUGUGUAAGUAACUAUGCACGUCUGGACGGUACCUAAUAAAAAGGCCACGGCAAAUUCCGGC